GACGAACGCUGGCGGCGUGCUUAACACAUGCAAGUCGAACGGAAAGGCCCUGCUUUUGUGGGGUGCUCGAGUGGCGAACGGGUGAGUAACACGUGAGUAACCUGCCCUUGACUUUGGGAUAACUUCAGGAAACUGGGGCUAAUACCGGAUAGGAGCUCCUGCUGCAUGGUGGGGGUUGGAAAGUUUCGGCGGUUGGGGAUGGACUCGCGGCUUAUCAGCUUGUUGGUGGGGUAGUGGCUUACCAAGGCUUUGACGGGUAGCCGGCCCGAGAGGGUGACCGGCCACAUUGGGACUGAGAUACGGCCCAGACUCCUACGGGAGGCAGCAGUGGGGAAUAUUGCACAAUGGGCGGAAGCCUGAUGCAGCAACGCCGCGUGCGGGAUGACGGCCUUCGGGUUGUAAACCGCUUUCGCCUGUGACGAAACGUGAGUGACGGUAAUGGGUAAAGAAGCACCGGCUAACUACGUG
rnacentral:rRNA from 1 species